ensembl:lncRNA
GUGAACUUUAAUAAAUUAAGAGAAGUGAAAGACAUAGAAGCUCCAUGAUGAUGAAAGUUCAAAUUUCCGUGGAAACCAGAUGCACAGAUUACCGUCAGCCUACCAUGGAUCAAAGUUAUGUAAACAUCUAGUAGAGACAGACUUCACACGCAAUAAAAUAACACAGAGUGCAAAGUGAGUUUUUUCUUUAUUAUAUAUCUUUUUAACAGUGCAGCUAUUAAGACUUACAAAAUCAAUUUGGCACAUAUCAAACUAUCAUAUUUCAUCCCUUCCUCUGAUCUGUUCUUUGUUCCAGACACUAAAUACACAAUGGCUGAGUUAUUCCCUUGGCUUUACAAUAAUGUGCUUCUGUGCCACAAUCCUUGAUUUGGCAUUUAUUCCACACACACACACAAAACAAAAAGGCAUUAAUUCAUAAAACAAUUCUUUGAAUGUUCCUGAACCGUUCCCACAAACAUAAAAAAGGCAAUUACUGCAGCCAACUCAUCAGCUGCAGAUGAAACACUGGACAUGACAGAUUAGACAAAACAUUUCCAUGUAUUGCACUAUGAAUCCCUUAUAAUGACAUUCGUUGAACGAAGGUUGAGGGCUAUGUUAAUACUAAGGCUUCAGCCCCAUGUGCCAAGAAUUACGUGGAAGCUAAAUCUGCAUAGAAACAAUAGAUACACAUCAUACCAACUGGCUCGAGCACCAUCUCGUAUCUAGAAGUCGUACAGGGAUCGAGCGUUUGAAUGCUACCAAGGGGUCUCAAAGCAAAGUCAAUCUGCUACCAACCUUUGAAAAUGGAAAUAUACAGAAAUGUAAACCACACAAUCCCGGUCAGACCCCCGAAUCGGAGUACAUUCCAUUGAUGAGAUAGUCGACCUGAGUGUAGUCCUUCCGCUUGUAACUCUCGUAUGCUUGUUUGAGAAACAGCGCCACCGUGACCACGAAGAAGAGGAGGCCAAACAGAAGAACGGCCAACAAGGAGCUUGUGUUCAACAGGUGGCUGGUCAAAGGGUCUCCGGCCACCUCAAUCAUGGGUUGGUCCCCUUUGGGAAUGUCCUUAGCCAGUGCAGACACCACUACUGAGGGGCUCAAUGAGGUUUUUGGCAUGGUCUGUGAUGGCUUGUUCUCUUCUGAUGAUGCUGCAGAAGUUUGGAUCGGUUUUAUGGAAGGAGUGAAUGAAGGUGUUGUAGGCACUGAUGGUGAGAUGCUGGCAGACAUAUUGGUCCCUGAUGGUGAUUGUGAAGGCGGUUGUUUUGGAAUUAUGGUUUGUGCAACUGUUGUGGUUGUGCUGGUAGUUGUUGGAAAGGGUUUAGGGCUGGUUAUGGUUGGUUUAGGUGUAGUUGUGGUGGUGGAUGUCUCGGCUGGUGUUGUCAGAGUGGUUGUGGUGAUCGCUGGUUUUGUGGAGGCUUUCUUUGUUGGGGAUGUCUGCAGGUUGGUGGUCAAUAUAGUCGUUAAGUUGAUUUGUAAAGUGGCCGGAUCUGUGGUAGUGGAAGUCCUGGAGAUCGAGACGUUAGGUUCAGUUGCCAAAUGCUGUGUUACAUUAGGUGAAGAGUCGUUGAAAUUUGUGAAAUUUUCACAAGAAAAAUUCUGGGUAUUAUUCGGGCAGCUGAUCAGAAAACACAGAGAUUGUGUUGUAUUAACAACAGCCUUCCAACAGACUUCAUCUUUAGGACCUGAAAAAUGAAAAACAAAGGAAUCAACAGGAUGUUCUCUUCAAAAAAAAAAAAAAAAAAAAAUUCUAAUAUUGUUACUUGAAAUAAACCUUGUUUGUAGUGAAUUUCGAUGGACUUCAAAACCACAUAAGAUUGUUGAAUAGACACAGGUGCUAAUGAAUCAGAAUUGUGAUAGUUGCAGACCGAAUUAACUGUGCUGAGCUAAAAAGACAACCAUUCAAAUCUGAUUUAAAAAAAAAAAUGAGCAAGUUCUGAAUGAGUCGUUUAAAAAGUAAGUUUAAAUCAAUCUGAAUCCUGACAAAAUAGGGGUUAAAGUUACUGAACAAAACAAAAUUGAAUACAAAUAUUCAAGGUACAAAUAUAUAUUACACCAAUAUUACGUCAAUUUGGACAUACAAUACAAAAAGAUUGAGCCAUCAUCAAAAUUUCCAAUCCAUAAAUCAACACAUUGCAAAACUGGACACUUUGUGCAGCCAUAAACCAAAUUUAAGAGAACAAAUAACCCAAACCCAAGUUUCUAAAGGUUGUUUUUAGAGUGUCAUGGCCAAAUAUAUUUUACAGCUCGCUCUAAAAUAUGAAAUAAAACGAACAGUGCAAUCUGUGACUCGUCAACUUGGGUUGUUUUCAUUGGGACAGAGACGUUCCCUGAAUGCUCAUUACUGGAUGUCAAACUGUAUAUCCUGAGCUCUGCAGUCUUCAGGAACGAGGCACGUCUGGGAGGAAAAACAGGCCUUGCCGCACCUCUCUUUGAUCCCCUACCAGCAGCCAUGUGUGCAUUAGGUACAGCACACCUCAACCUCCACAUCCGUCUCCACUCUUUCCCUUAUUCCCACUUCCCUUGAUUACUUAACCAGGUGGCUGCAGCACGGCAGGACCAAACGGGGCUAUAAAGUAUUUGCUUGUGCUGGCACUGCAGAAUGCUCCAAAAUGCCCCCAUUUCCCUUUUUGGACCUUGCCAAUGGACAAUCAUCCAGUGUUUAAAAGCUCCAGGUGAAUCAAUAAUCAACCUCGGUGAAGUGAAAACCCCCGGUUGAAUCAUCUCUUGGUCAGCGUUGACACACUAAAUCGAGAGGCCAGCUGCAUCGUGUGCAUUUUUUCUCCUUUUAAACACUUCUCCAGCUGUUUAAAGCAGAAAAAGCACAAAACCAAAGGUGAAAGAAGAGCGGUGUGGCAGUAGAGGACCUGGCCUGAUUUUUGCAGUCGCCACAGGUUGCCCUGUAGUACGUUUAGUCUUUGACGUGUCCAAAACACACCGUUCCCUGCAGUGGAAUGUGGAAUGCUUAUGUAUUUAUAGCUUGCCAUCAUUCCAAACAUUUCAGACUUCCAGAUGACGGUGGUGAUUCUGACCUAGCUUUCCAUCUCCGUACAGUUAACGUGAUGGAAACUCAAUACCGACAACAUACGUGCAUGUUAUCAGGCGGGGGCAGGGCCAGUCGCUCUACCCCGAACACAAAACCAGCACGCCUCGGGGUCAUUUCAGCUGUCUGCGUGUUUACAGAGGUGGCGAGGUAGUCAAGUGCAACGUGUGUGGUCAAAGUGAAAGAGGAAAAAAGAAAGCGAUUUAAUUAGAAAAAGAGCAUGUCUUGACGAAGACUGUAGAAGGGUAUGGCCCGCUGAAGCAGAGCCUGGCGCAUAAGCAGAACAGCCAGCCCAGGCUUCCCUUUCAUCUUAAAUGUGAAACACAUGGCCUUCUUUGAAAGUGCACGUCCUUCAAGGGAAAAACGUGAUGUAUAAAAGACAAAACAACAUAUGGCUUUACUUUAAAAAAAAAAUAAAUAAAAAUAAUAUGAUAUUCUGCAGGUACCCUGUUUUAUCUCUGAAGGUAGCACACAGAUUGCAUUUCGUUCUCAAGCCCUCAAAGAAACAUAGAAAAAGAAAAACAGGCUGGUUUAACUCUUAGAAAUAGUGGAAAAUAAUCAAACAAUUAUGUUUGUGCAGGGUUAAACAAUAAGGAUGGCCUGUGUGAGAGCGUUUCAGGCCAGUUGAUGGGACUGUCAAAACAAGCACAUACUUAGUCAUCAUUUACCCAGACUCAUGUCAUUCCAAAACAUGUAUAACACUUUGAACAUCAUAUCAAUGUGUUUUCUUUUUUUUUUUUUUAGUCCAUACAAUUUAAGUCAGUGGUGUCCAAUGUUGUUUGGCUCCUCAAUCUUUUUUUUUUGUAUUCA